GGAAACUCGACGUUCACAUUCCGGUUUUCGCGAUUUUUAGGUCUUCGCGACGGUUUCUCGCGGUGAAAAUACGUUGCGCGUGCGUGUUCAUCCCCAUAGAAGAGGGGAAAAGUGUUUUGUGCAAAGAAGAAACGCCCAAACAAGGCAAAGGUUUUUGGAUCAGAAAGCAAAACUUCAGCGGAACGAUUUAUUACUCCGCCACUAGUGCGAAGCACGCAAAACGUUAACGUAGGUAAUGAAGGUUUUCAAUGAAGAACCUUCUAACAGCAGUGUAAGUCUCCCUUUUUGCUAUUCAUUAGAAGAAGGUAGAGCAACGCAUAAAUGGACCGACAGUCCAAAGGUAAUCCGGCGGUCGCCCUUGGAAAGUUCCCAAAUGAACACUCCGUUCAAAAGCAGGCCUCCGGUACAAAAUUGUAGCAGUUUAUGCUAGUUUAAGAAGAUUUGCUGGCCAAAUACCAAGAUUUUUCCCGGUAGGAUCAACCAGCUCGUAAGACGAAGACCCCUUUUUGGCGAGAACUUUCGCCGAUCAUCUUCCCCGGAAAUCCUGGAGUAGUCAUCCCCUGAUGCCGUUUCGCAACCAUGGACGACGAAAUGAGGACUAAACCCGGUAGAAGAAUGAACCGUAGUAUUUAGGAUGCGCUCCACAUCAGAGAUGCGGGCAUACGCGCGUAUUGCCGUAUUUAUAGAACGAUUCGUUCGUUCUACCGGAAUCGGCUGAAUUCUCUGAAGAUGAACGUCGAACCCUUAUCGCUCAACAGGAUUUCCGGACUUCCAUGGCGGUUGAAACAUUGUUCGCGAAGUGUCGCACAAAGUGAGGCGCUGCAAAUUUUGUGAACGGGGGUCAACAUUACGUACUUGCUGAAGACGUCGAGGACGACUAGCAAGUUUUGAUUGCCCCGUUUGCUUCGAGGAAGUGGGCCUAUGUAGUCUAUGUCUAUGUAAUAGCUUUUAUGAACCUCGUGAAUCGUUUUAUCAUAUCCCACAUAAAGUAAUUAAUCGUGAGUACGCUGCACGAUAUCUUCUCGACACUCGGGGGUUGGGACCAAUUUCCAACUAAACCGAGAGUCGAAUGGUACACUUUUCGAGGCCACGUAUUUGAAAAGUUUACCAUCUUCAACUUUAAAGUCAGGGUAAUCAUCAGGAUUAUCUGAAACUUCAGACCUCAUGGAAUAAUACCAGUCUGAAGUGGACAAUGCCGAAAUGGUUACUACAGCCCGGGAUAAGGCAUCCGGAACGACAUUGUCCUUACCUUUCCGGUGCUCAAUGGACAUGUCGUAGAGUUGCAGUUCCAAACUCCACCGACUAAGGCGCGAACUGGUUUUCCAUUUGGUCUUCAGUAUCCAGGUAAUGGCUGAUGAAUCAGUGACAAGUCGAAAAUGAUAACCUUCCAAGUAACCUCGGCAGUGUUGAACCGCCAUAAUCACCGCCAGACCUUCCUUUUCGGUAGCGUUGUAAUUCCGCUGGGGAGUGGUUAGCUUAUGUGAAAAAUAAGCUACCACUUUUUCCUCCUCUGGAUAUUGUUGCACCAGAACAGCCGUGACAGCAGUGUCACUGGCAUCUGUCUGCAGAAUAAAUUCCUUCGAAAAAUCUGGCGGGGCAAGCACUGGAGGAGUGACUAAAAGUUCCUUUAUCUUCAGGAACGCGAGUUCUGUUUCGGAGUUCCAGCCAAUAUUCUUGGCCUUUGUUUUCAAGAGGUCGGUCAAAGGUGCGGUUACCUCACUAAACCGGCCAAUGAAACGCCGGUAGUAAUCGCAUAUUCCAAGGAAUCGGCGCAGUUUAGUAACCGUCACCGGCUGCUCGUAAUCGAGUAUCAGCUGAAUUUUGUCAGGAUUGACCUUUAGACCUUCCUGAUUCAACAAAUAGCCAAGAAAUUUUAACUCUGGAACCCCAAAACGGGAUUUAGCCUGUUUUAUCGUUAGAUCGGCUUUGGCUAGACAUUUGGCCACCUCUUUGAGCAAUUGUAGGUGAUGCUCGAACGUUUCGCUUACCACGAUGCUAUCAUCGAGGUAAACGAAGACGCACGGUUCCAGUUUUCCUCGUCCUAACACCUGAUCCAUCAGACGUGCCAAAGUGGCAGGGCUGUUAACGAGACCGAAGGGUAGACGAGUAAAUUGGAACAUACCUCUGCCGGGCACGCUGAAAGCAGUAAACUUACGACUGCCCUUAGCCAAAGGAACCUGGAGAAAAGCCUCCUUUAAGUCUAUAGUAGACAGGUACUUGGCUUUAGGCAGGCUUCCUAAAAUUCGCCCGGGAUGAGGCAGAGGGUAUGCAACACGUACUGUUCGCUCAUUAAGAGGUCGGGCAUCUAGACAAAGCCGAAUAGAGACGUCUGGUUUGGUCACAGCGACAAUAUUCAAAGACCAAUCGGAAUCUGACGCUUCAAUAAUACCCAUAAAACGCCAACGGUCGUCUUCUUCCCAGACUUUAGACAGUUUCCUUGGGCUCAUUUUAUAAGGAUAUCGGCAAACAGGCGCGGCACUUUGGAAUUCUUCCUUCAUUACGAUCCUGUGCUCUGUUAGCGAGGUCGUAUUUAAUUUGCCGGGCACUACCGCCUGGAAACAGAUCGUAACCUGUUCGAUACAGGCAAUCUGCUCCGGAGUAAGUGUAGACUUAUUCGGAGCAUCAUUCUCUACUUCUUCGUCCCGUUCCGAACCUGAGUUCAACAGAGCACAAGUUUGCAACUCGGGUGUUAUUCCAAAGGCGCGCCAAAAGUCCAUACCGAGUAUUAAAGAAACUGUUAAUUGUUCCACUACAAGGGUGCAAAUAUCCUUUGUCUUGUUUUGGAAAGUGUACGGAAGAUAUAUUUGCCCAAGGAUCGGUAAGGUCUGUCCAUUUGCCGAACGAAGUUCAACUGGCCUUUCCAAACCUUUCAAUGGACUUUUGGAAAACUUUCGAUACAACUUUUUGGUAAUAAUGGUUGCAUUACUACCACUGUCGAGCAAAGCCUUGAAGGAAUGGCCAUAUAUUGCGACAAAAGCGAAAGGACGAUUAUCGGACGGAUCAUCGAGGGUGAUGGUUUCAACAAACAACGGAUCACGAUAAUCCUCAUCAUGAGCUGGUCGAAAACUGUUGUAAAUUUGGGGGUCUAAUAUCAGGCUUUCUAUGAGGCGCACAUCCUUACACAACAGCGACUUUAGUUGGUACGAACCCCGUUUUUUAAGCAGUAGGGACAGCGAGAGACAUCGAAACCCUUGAAUCCACACAAAAUACAGAAGACUCGUCUAGGAUGUCUGCACACCUCAUGCUCGUGUCCAGUACCACCGCAGUUGCAACAGACUCCGAGACUAGGAGGUCGAUGCUGUCCCACCAGAUAGUCGAGACAAAUCAUCGGCUUUUGUUUGGAUUCCGGUUUAGAAUUUCUCUCGACAAGAUUCUUUUCCGUCUGAACACCUGGCUUUUUCUUCGUGUUUUCAGUCGGCGUUUUGGAAGCAAAAUUAUCCUUUUGGGAAAUUUUGCACCAAAAUGUUUUGGUUUCAACGUGGCUGCUAUUCGAACUACCUCCCUUUCUGUUUGGUUGGUCCUUUUUCGAGGUGUUAAUUGGUGGAUUUACCGAAUAAGCAGCGACUUCCUUUUGAGAACCGAACACUUUUCGGUAAAUCGGUGUUUUGUACGCAUCAAUCGAUUUACCUAAAGUCAUCAAUUCUGCAAGCGUACUCACUGGCUUUGAAAUUAAAACUUGCUUAUAGUCCGGCCUGAGGUUCCGCUUGAGCACGUCGAGUUUUUCACUCGAUGUCAUGGGAACCUUCAUAGCAAGGAAUAUUUUUUCCAUUUUCCGGAAAUAGUCCAGGAACCGCUCGUUUCGCAUCUGCAGGCGCUGGGAAACCGGUGAUUUGAGAGCGGCGUCAGGUUCCGGAUGAACGAAAUUUGCCUUAAGCUCACAAACCAAAUGGUUCCAGUUGAAGAGCCUGUUCUGCGAUCUCAUAGCCCGAUACCAAGUAAGAGCAUUGUCAGUGAGUAGGUGCAUUGCAGAAUUGAACAGCUCCUCUUCUGAAAUUUGCUCUCACUGAGCAUAAUUUUCAACGGAGUCCAGAAAUUCAUUCAGUCCUAGCCCAUCAGCUGUCCCAGCGUAUUUCUCGAUUUUCCAAUCGGAAACACGCUGAGGUCGACGAUUGUAAUGGUAGCCCGAGCAGAAUGGUAUUUCUUUACCCGUAUGGUUUGGAAAAGGAAAACGCCCACCAGUCGGGCUUGACCUAUCAUUCACAUGGUGUUGUGGGGCCUGCGACUGAAUAACUGCUAAAGCUGGUUUCGUGUUCUCAAUUGGAAGCGACGGACAUCGAUAUUUUAGAAAAUCUAUAGGUAACCUUUCCAUCACGGUUUGGUUCAAUGUGGGCGCCAGUGGUGGAUCAGGUACUUCAGGUUCCUCUGGCUCAUCGAUUUCGUCCGUCUCACGUCUUUCGUCCUGAUCGGUCUGCAGAUCAAUCUCGGGAACGCCAGCUGGUUUAGAAUGUACCAGCGCCCGAAGUUCACUGACGGAUUCACGAAGUGAGACAACUUCUUGAUCCGUCUUUCUUAAAACUGAAGCAAUCGUGUUUAGUGAAGCAAUCCCGCCCAUUAGCGCCUGAGUAGCUUCCAAAAGACUAUCUGACCUCUCAGCCGCUAGAGCUCUAUCCUUUUGGGAUUGCUGACGUAAAAGUCGAAUCUCGUCCCUUAGCUAGCUCAAGGCAGACCCAACAUCUUCUCCUACGAGCGGACCAGAUUCUACACUUUGCGGGGAAAUGGGUGCCGUUUGUGUUGGUGGCACGAUCGUGCCCAACAAAUCUCCCAAACCUGCUCCACCUUCCCCAGUAUUUUCAAUUGGAGGAAGCACUGCCGACAAAUCAAAAUGUUCUUGAUAUGUAGCAGCAACUUCCGCCAACAAACCCAAAAUUUCCUGGUUGACCUCCCCUGCUGUGUAUUUGUGGAUUAUCUGGAGUCUAGACCCCAGAUGGAGUAACCUUGUUCGGUAGGCCUCCUUGUUUGGGCAUCUAUAACGGAGAUCCUCCCUAAUGGAACUCAACUUCCCAAGGCAGAUCUCCAUUUCUUCCGCAGCAUCCCCAUGAAACACGCGCAAGUGUUCCACCGGAGACGACCGUUCUUCGGCCAACAAUCCCCAUAAACGACGCUGCCGCUGAACCCCAGAUGGAUCCGAAUCAGCCGAGACGACAACAUUCUCCGAGCUCAACUCAAAAUCUAGCUCGUCGAAAUGCAAAUGGUCAACCCGCAUCAACCAAUAAUCUCUGUUGAGCUCUUCAACCAUCAUUGCCAUUUUCUAAAUGUUCUUGGAAAAUAACUCAAAAGCACAAAGCAUUAAGUCACAUACUUAGACAAACGUAACACUGACGAUUUUUUUUGGUACUCUUUGGUACAUCACCCGGUACUAACACCAGAAUGAACUGCUCGACGAAAAUGAACGAAAUGAAUUUUCUUCAUAGCGGCUCUACUCGAGCCCUCAACAAAAUCCCUUACGAAACUGUCAAAAAGUUGUUUACAAAAUCAAUGCUGCAUUUUUCGAGUGGGAACGAGACAAAUGCAGGGCUGCGCAGGUACACAACCUCCAUAAACUUCUCAAACAGAGGUUUUUUUUACAGGGGUUGGUACUUUCGAGUAGUUCAUUUUGUGCCAACUUUUCUGGAAGAUUUCUUCCUGAGUGUUACGUAUGUCUUAUGUAUGUGAUUAAGUAUUGACACGGCAUGAAACUUUGUAUUUAUUUCGCCCACUAACGAUUCCUUUUUAUUUUAGGAAUCUGAGCGGAGUUGAAAAAUGUUUCGAAUCGGAUCGGAAUAUUUUAUGGUUGGCAACCACCUUGACUGGAAAAGACUCAAGCUUUCCACAACUCGUCUGGUAGUUCCACCAAAACCAACGCAAAAUCACCGAUUCAGAAAACAAAAAUAAAAAAAUCCGGAGUACUUCGUGAUACGGGCGAAUCUAUCAAACUUUAAACAAAUAGAGAUUUUACCGAGAACGUAUGAAGUGAGCUACUAUCUACCUUCAAACUUCGAAAAAAUAAUGUAUCUUUUUUCUAACUAUUAAGAAGUACGAUGUUUGUUAAGGGCGAAAUCUACUUUAUAUCAAAACGAAAUAGAAUGAGGAAUACGCCCACACUAGGGCGCCAAUCAUCGUAUGGAAAAAAAAUGACCAGAAAAUUUCAAAAAAAACCCUAUGUUCACCUGCUCGAAAAAACACCCUGUGCAAAAUUUCAGCUCAAUCGGACUUAAAAUGGGGUGGCGCAAAGCGAUUGAAGUUUGGCUUUUUUGAAAACUGAAAACUCACCCAAGGGGGGGGGGGGUACGUGAAAUUUCGGUUUUCGAAAAUUUUUUUUUUGAUGCCAAAUGACUUAAAAACGCAUGAAACGUCGAGAAUUGGUGUCAUCUGAAAAAACUUUUUUUUGCAAAAAUUUACUCUCUGGGACUUAGUCGUUUUUUCAAUUGUGGAAGGCGGAGUUCAAAAUGUUUAGAAUUUAUCUUUUGAAAUUGAUCACUAGUCUUUCGAAAUAGCUUGUAUAAUGAUAUACACUAUAACUAGCGUCGAAUACAUUAUGUUUCAUUAGGGUGGUUCAUUUAUUCGACAUAGGGUGGUU